rnacentral:lncRNA from 10 species
UAUGUUAAUCUCAGUGUGCUAAUUUAUAAACUAAACUUUGUCACAGGUAAUGUAUAGGAAAGAACAGAGAGAGGGUUCAGUGUUGUCCACAGUUUCAGACAUCCACUGGGGAUCCAGGAAUGUAUCCCUGGAGGAUAAGGGGGAACUACCGUAUUCGCUGGGUGCUGUUUGUGAUUGUAGUGGCAGGAUGGUCCAGGCUAGGGACAAGAGACAACCAGACUUGACCAGCCUGGCCAGAUUCAGAUAUGAAGGAGCCAGUUACUGGUAUCACGUACAGUGAGUGAAAGCAGCACCAUCUGCAAGGCUCGUGCACAGUAAGAGCUUCAUUUGGUGGCAAAUGUGAGCGUUUGACAGGUGGAAUUAGGUGGCUGCAGCCAUGAAGGUUCGAAGGCAGAAUGUGAGGUGGGGGAGCCAAGCACAUCACUACAUGCAGCCUGUUAGAUGUCAUAAACUGCAGAGGACAC